CGAGGAGUUUACACUCCUCCUCACUGCUAUCAAUUUUAUCAAAAUAAGGUUUUAAACGAGUACUGUUUACCUUAAAAGUGUCGAAUUUAGGAUGAAUUACCUCGACUGUACCGUAUGGAAAAAUAUUGGGUACCGUGAGAGGAAUUUCUAUAUUAGAUUUAAAAGUGGCAAUACGAGGAUCUGCUGCAUCCAGUAUUACUUUGUCUCCAACCUUAAGCUGAUUUGGUGGAAUAUUGA
rnacentral:lncRNA from 1 species